AUGGAUCACUGUGUUGUCUUCAGAAUUAGAGCUAGAGAGAAGGGAAGAGUUGCCACCAUAGCAUUUAUUUGUGACUGCAUGGUCCCAUUGUCGAUUUUCUUGAUGUACUAUAGCCUCUUGUUCUUGGAAGAAAUAGACUGUUGUCUGUACCUCAGGUCUAACAGGGCCUGCGUUCAAGACCUGGCGGGGCUGGGCCAACCGGUCCUUCGUGUUCAAGAUCUGGCCCUGAUGAGCCCUAACAACCCGUGCUACCGGACGGGCACCUUCUUCCUGAGCCGGGUCCGGAACCAGACCAACAGGGACACACUGAGCGAGUACUCGAGGCAUGCCGUCAAGUCGGAGGAGUGCAACCAGGCAGCUGCCGUGGGUGUCCAGGUUCAUACUGUCAAGGUGUUCGCUCAUUGCCCAGUACGAGUGGAAAUGGGUAAGGACUACUACAGUCUAAGGAAGAGGGCGAGGAAGAGUACCAAUGGUCUGAGGUCAGGCUGGCAAUGGGGAUUACCCAGGCGGGUAUUGGACUCCCAUCCCCUUCCCCACGACAACAUUCCCAUGCCCGUCCCCAUCCCCAUACCCAUCUACGGGGAUAAAAAUAUUCCCAUCCCCAUCCCCGCGGUUUUUUAUACCCAUGGGGAAACCCAUGCACGUAAUCAACAACAACCUUCGAUAGCAUUUCAGUAG
rnacentral:rRNA from 1 species